CAAUAGCGUAUAUUAAAGUUGUUGCAGUUAAAAAGCUCGUAGUUGAAUUUUUGCUUGCCGCCGAUGUCGGAACUUCCGUACGUUCGGCGGCGUGCAUCCUUGGGUGGAACCUGUGUGGCAUUAGGUUGUCGUGCAGGGGAUGCUCAUCGUUUACUGUGAAAAAAUUAGAGUGUUCAAAGCAGGCUUACGCCGUUGAAUAUAUUAGCAUGGAAUAAUGAGAUAGGACCUUGGUACUAUUUUGUUGGUUUGCGCACCAAGGUAAUGAUUAAUAGGGACAGUUGGGGGUAUUCGUAUUCCAUUGUCAGAGGUGAAAUUCUUGGAUUUCUGGAAGACGAACUACUGCGAAAGCAUUUACCAAGGAUGUUUUCAUUAA
rnacentral:rRNA from 1 species